AAAUUUACUUUUACGCACGCCGUGCGGGAAAGUGCAACCUUCGGAAAUGAAAUGCGUGCGUGAAAGUGGCUCUUUUAGCACGGCCGUAGAAAAAAUACUUUGCGCCUACGCUCUUAAACUAUAUAUCAUACAUAACUGGAUAAACUGACAUGCAUAGGUACUCUAUUUUUUUCACUUAUUAAACUUAUUGAUAAUAUUGUACUUUUAAAGUAAAUAUAUACUAAAAUAUUA
rnacentral:lncRNA from 1 species